rnacentral:lncRNA from 13 species
CUCUUCUUUCUUAAGCAUGAAUGCCACUACAGUUUUUUUUUCACGAGAUCUGCACUUUAAGGAAUUUAGCUUUUAUAUAACACAUAGUGAAUGAGCGUAUGUACUUCUCUGUGGCUACCCAUAAGGUAAUACAUUGUCACUUUUCAACAGGAUUGCAGAGUGGCUUUGCUAAAUUCCAGCUUCAAUGACAGAGCUUCCUGCAGGACAAGCUGGUGCCCCCUUGCAGUGCCGAGUGCACACCUGGCCCAAGUGUUGGAGAAUCUGACUCAGGUUUCCUAGUAAGAGCUGAAGAAGCUAUAGGCCCAAAGGUGGCCUGGAGUGAACCAGGUGUGCCACAGAAUUGUUUCUUUCAGUGGCACUCAGGAAAGAUCACAACAGUUGUGGAGUUACUACAUAAAGAGGCUUCUACUCCCCAAGGGAGGAGGAACCAGCUAAAUCUAAGAACGGCACAAAAUUAA